rnacentral:rRNA from 1 species
GAUGAACGCUGGCGGCGUGCUUAACACAUGCAAGUCGAACGUGAGGGUGUAGCAAUAUGCCUGAAAGUGGCGAACGGGUGAGUAACACGUGGAUAACCUGCCCUGGAGUGGGGGAUAACCAUUGGAAACGGUGGCUAAUACCGCAUAGAGCUAUUGAUUUGGGAGAAUCGAUAGGGAAAGCUCCGGCGCUCUGGGAGGGGUCUGCGUCCGAUUAGCUAGUUGGUGAGGUAAAGGCUCACCAAGGCGACGAUCGGUAGCUGGUCUGAGAGGACGAUCAGCCACACGGGAACUGAGACACGGUCCCGACUCCUACGGGGGCAGCAGUGAGGAAUAUUGGGCAAUGGGCGAGAGCCUGACCCAGCAACGCCGCGUGGAGGAAGACGGCCUUCGGUGUAAACUGCUUUAUAUGGUAGCAAUAAGGUUACGUAGUAGACCGAUGAGAGUACCAUAUGAAUAAGACAUACGGCUAACUCCGUCGCCAGCAGCCGCGGU